rnacentral:lncRNA from 1 species
GAAUGGGACCCUUGAUACAAGGCUUUCAUAGACCAGCCGGUGCUGAUGGGGUCCGGGACUUGACGAUGGCGCCUGCUCGUUCCUGUUGUGUUCUAUCUGAGGCAUGAUUUUCUUUCGUUUUUGGGAGGUAGAGAGCACGGGGCAGAGGUUGCACCUGACACAUUAGAACUCCGUUGUCACUGCUGUGGCUGUUAUUCCCCUCGGCAAGAGCCAAGGAGCAAACAGGACGUGAAGAUCCCGGUGUUACACAUCCAAUCGUUCACCUCCUUCCAAGACUAUGACAUUCCAGGAAACCUUCACUGCUAAGAGGAACUAAGAUCUAGAGUAUCUCCUCGAGGAAGUACAACUGGUAAUUAAUAAGAAGUCCAGUGGCUCACACCUGCGAUCCCAGCACUUUGGGAGGCUGAGAUGGGCAGAUUGCUCGAGCCCAGGAAUUCAAGACCAACCUGGGCAACAUGGCAAAACCCCAUCUCUACAAAAAUACAAAAAUUAACCAGAUGUGAUGGUUCAUGCCUGUAGUCCCAGCUACUCUGGAGGCUGAUGUGGGAGGAUCGCUUGAGCCUAGGAAGUCAAGGCUGCAGUGAGUCAUGAUUGCUCCGCUCCACUGCACUCUGGCCUUGAUGAUAGAGUGAGAACCAGUCUCAAAAAAAAAAAGGUCAUUUUCUAAGCAUUUGUUGAUUCAAUACUGCCCACUAUGUACACUGACAAUUAGACAUAAUUUAAUUUCAGCUCAUGGUAUGAAUGGAGACAAAAUGAAAUCAUUUUAAUGCACAUUAAGGCAAUAUAGUGCCCUUAAAUAAAAAGUUGAAGUUCAUAAGGGACCAUCAUUAAGAUUUAACUUUGUAACAAAUAUUUUGUUUUUGUUUGUUUUAUUUUUAGAUUUGCAUAAUAAAACAUUCAUAUUC